UUAAAUCACAAAGUCGGUGUCGUACGCCACCGACCGUACGAAAAGACAAAACUGCCCCAUUCGUCUCUUUACCAAUCUCAUUUCGACAAAUUGGAUAAAAAAACACUCCACACAGAGUCUCCGGAGCAGUCAAACCAUGACCGGCGGCGCUUCAACCGGCCGUCUUCCGUCGUGGAAAGAGAGAGAGAACAACAAGAGACGUGAGAGGAGACGAAGAGCCAUCGCCGCCAAGAUCUACGCCGGUCCACUUCAUCAACAAUUCAACACCUAAUUCAAAACGACGUCGUAUCCUCCAUCGCCGGAAUUCGAAACAUCCAUUCGCGAUUUCAUCACAUCACACGCCACAACAAUCUUCGCCGCCGUACCUCCGCCGCACGACGACGGCACCGUCGAGCCACUCACAGUGGCGGACCCAGGAUUUUAUUUCAAUGGGGUCCAUUUUCAGGUCGGUCCUCAUUAAUCUUAAAACACAAAGUCGGUGCUUUUGUCACCGACCAAACCACCUUCUUCAGUCUUAUUGGUCCACGUCCCGCCUUCACAUGAAACCAUCUCCAAAUCACUUUCUACAGAGAUGGUUGGAUUACCUUUGUUCAUCAAAACCCUGAGUUCAACCACCUCCUCCAAUCACCGCCACAACACAACACCAAAACCAUCAACAUCAACGUUUCCGUUCUCUCUCUAAAUAACUUCAAACUCUGAUGAACCCCUAGGGUUCCGACGGUAGCUGUGACGAAGAACCAGGCGCCGACAAAAAUAGAAACAUAUUACGGCAAAGGCUAGGGUUAUGACGAAGAUCCGGCGGACUCCGGUGAGAAAUUUAGAGGCAAUGGCCUCCCCUAUCGAUUGCCUCUUUCCGACGAAGAUGUGGUAGCCGGCGGCAAAAAUGGGAUGGUGGUUCGGUAAUACAUCCUAAUGCUUGAGAAGCGUUGUCAACGAGGUUUGAAGGCUAGCCGCAAUGUCCGAGUGUUGGUCACUGGACGUUUGAUGGGUGAUCUUUGUCCAGUAAUGUGUAUAUGAAGUAUUUUGUAGUUUCAAGAUGUGCUCAAACAUAUACACUUUUCCCAGACACGCAUCACUGUUAUCAUCAGUUCAUCACCACCAGGUAUCCACACAUUGCGUUCACUGACUCCUCCCAACCUUCGUCAACUUGCUUCUUCUUACAUUGUGUUCUCCUAGCGUGGCAGACAUGUGGAAACAAUGUCUCCUCCCUUAAUAAGGGCAUGCAAGACGAUCAAAAAAGUUAAACAAGAUGAAUGGUUAGUACUUUACAUCACUGUUUCCAACUUAGUCUAAUUUUAUAUUCAUUUAACUUUACAUAUUCACAUUACUUGGAUAUCAUAGACAUUGAAUGACAGUUGCUUGUACAAACUACUUUGGAGCUUUCAUAACAGUUAUUUUUCAUGCAACUUUUUGAAU